UACGUAGGGGGCUAGCGUUGUCCGGAAUCAUUGGGCGUAAAGAGCGUGUAGGCGGCCCGGUAAGUCCGCUGUAAAAGUCAAAGGCUCAACCUUUGAAUGUCAGUGGAUACUGCCGGGCUAGAGUCCGGAAGAGGCGAGUGGAACUCCUGGUGUAGCGGUGAAAUGCGCAGAUAUCAGGAAGAACACCCGUGGCGAAAGCGGCUCUCUGGGACGGUACUGACGCUGAGACGCGAAAGCGUGGGGAGCGAACAGG
rnacentral:rRNA from 1 species